UACAGAGGGUGCGAGCGUUAAUCGGAUUUACUGGGCGUAAAGCGUGCGUAGGCGGCUUUUUAAGUCUCGCGUGAAAUCCCCCGGCUCAACUUGGGAAUUGCAUUCGAUACUGGGAAGCUAGAGUAUGGGAGAGGAUGGUAGAAUUCCAGGUGUAGCGGUGAAAUGCGUAGAGAUCUGGAGGAAUACCCAUGGCGAAGGCAGCCAUCUGGCCUAAUACUGACGCUGAGGUACGAAAGCAUGGGGAGCAAACAGG
rnacentral:misc_RNA from 1 species